UACGUAGGGCGCGAGCGUUGUCCGGAAUUAUUGGGCGUAAAGAGCUCGUAGGCGGCCUGUUGCGUCCGCUGUGAAAUCCCAGGGCUCAACCCUGGGCGUGCAGUGGAUACGGGCAGGCUGGAGGCAGGCAGGGGGAGAACGGAAUUCCCCGGUGUAGCGGUGAAAUGCGCAGAUAUCGGGAGGAACACCGGUGGCGAAGGCGGUUCUCUGGGCCUGUUCUGACGCUGAGGAGCGAAAGCGUGGGGAGCGAACAGG
rnacentral:rRNA from 1 species